CAUAUUUACUUAACCUGAGCUGAUGACAUUUAUUGGUAUUUGACAUUUAUCGAUAUUUAUUCUAUUAGCUGGACCACUGUCUGCUUGAUUAAGCCUGAAGGCCUGACUUUCUGUUUCCUAGAAAUCAGGAAAUUUCAGGGAAACAAAAACCUUCCAUUCCAAUCUCCCCAAAUAGCAACAACCAAUUAGAUGCCUCCCCUCCCCUUUUCAAAGCUUUCUUACUUGUAAUGUAAUUUCUUGUAUAAAAGCUAUGUAUCUUUACUACUUCUUUAGCCCUCCUACCGGGAGCUUUCUCUUUCUUAUCUUGCCAUGGGAUGGCUCAUCCUCCAGAGGUUUUCAAUAAACAACGUUUCUGUCUUCUACUGAGUGAUCUCUGAGUAGUCAUUUUGGAUGAGGAAACUGAGAUAAAGAAGGUUAAGUGACUUGCCCAGGAUCACACAGCUAGGCCUUAAAGAUAGAAGAUGUAUACCUAAUCCUGUAUCAGCUUCAGCUGACUAUAAUGAAAACCAGUACCAGACAAUGUUCUGCCCUGGACUUCUUCAGGUUCCUCUUAUGAUGGAGUUGGGAGUCUAAGAAAAAGGUGAAUUUGUAGCCUCAUCUCUAAAUGCCGGAUGGAAGAAUUGACAAUGGCAUAUUAAAACCUCAAUUAGAAACUGAUUUUUUUUCUUAGCAAUGAUGGGAACUUAUCUGUAAAAAAAAAAAACUUAUUUUCCUACAUAGAAAUAUAUAUAAUAAAUAUAACUGUGAAGAAUAGUCAUUUGGUAUUAAAUCCUUUCUGCUUCCUCAUCCUUACUGGAUAAGAGCAAAAUUGAAUCUCUCCCAGGUUUUUUCAUAUCUUAGGUUUCAGAAUAUGUGGUUUAUAGUAUAAUCUUUACUCCAGUCAUCAUCUUUUUCUGCUUACCCUCACUCUCUCUGGAGAUUUGGUCAGUUGAUCAAGUCAUAUUGCAACAAUCAACUCCUUUUUUAGCUUAGAGGCAAUAUAGUGGUCCUUCAGAUCCACAAAAUCACCAAUUCUACUGUUUUUAUGUAGUUUAUAUAAAAUGAAAUCCCAGUAACA